rnacentral:misc_RNA from 1 species
UACCUGUAUUCGUUGGCGGAAUUGUCUCGGUCACUCCUCUUCUGCCGUAGGCCUGGGCUAGACCUCUCUGCCGGUCGCUGUUUUGAUUUUUUUUACGAUCUAAUGAGCCUUCAUUCCCUUCAAACCAGCAUAAUGGUAAGAGGAUGGAGUAUAAUACCCGGAGGACUGAACUGCCAGAUACCCACAGGACUGUAAAUGCAAAGUCGUCAAACAGGUGGAGUAGGAAUUUUGCUUCUCGCGGACUAAUUAGUGAUGAUUAAUCGUGCACGUCGUCUUCCCCAGUCACUAUACUACGGGACUCGGCUGCAGAUACAUCAUUGGUGCUCAAAGAGGCUGUUCCUAACCCUGAUUGUUACACUGGAGACAUGGUAUCCGCCCCUUUAAUAGACUUGCCGAGUACUAAACGGACAUUCAGGUGGUCAGAUGAUUGUCAGCAAGCUUUUGAAAACCUGAAGCACCUCUUGUGUACCGCCCCCGUCUUGCAGGCUCCUGACAUCAAUAAACUGUUUGUAAUACAGGUGGACACUAGUGACAA